UCGAUUUGGAGUUUGUUGCCUAGAGUGAUGGGCUCCGAAGCUAACGCGAUAAAUCGACCGCCUGGGGAGUACGGCCGCAAGGUUAAAACUCAAAUGAAUUGACGGGGGCCCGCACAAGCGGUGGAGCAUGUGGUUUAAUUCGAUGCAACGCGAAGAACCUUACCUGGUCUUGACAUCCACAGAAUCUUGCAGAGAUGUGAGAGUGCCUUCGGGAAUUGUGAGACAGGUGCUGCAUGGCUGUCGUCAGCUCGUGU
rnacentral:rRNA from 1 species